AGGCCCNCACAUGCAAGCCGAGCGGUAUUGUUUCUUCGGAAAUGAGAGAGCGGCGUACGGGUGCGGAACACGUGUGCAACCUGCCUUUAUCUGGGGGAUAGCCUUUCGAAAGGGAGAUUAAUACCCCAUAAUAUUUAGAAUGGCAUCAUUUUAAAUUGAAAACUCCGGUGGAUAGAGAUGGGCACGCGCAAGAUUAGAUAGUUGGUGAGGUAACGGCUCACCAAGUCAACGAUCUUUAGGGGGCCUGAGAGGGUGAUCCCCCACACUGGUACUGAGACACGGACCAGACUCCUACGGGAGGCAGCAGUGAGGAAUAUUGGACAAUGGGUGAGAGCCUGAUCCAGCCAUCCCGCGUGAAGGACGACGGCCCUAUGGGUUGUAAACUUCUUUUGUAUAGGGAUAAACCUACCCUCGUGAGGGUAGCUGAAGGUACUAUACGAAUAAGCACCGGCUAACUCCGUGCCAGCAGCCGCGGUAAUACGGAGGGUGCAAGCGUUAUCCGGAUUUAUUGGGUUUAAAGGGUCCGUAGGCGGAUCUGUAAGUCAGUGGUGAAAUCUCACAGCUUAACUGUGAAACUGCCAUUGAUACUGCAGGUCUUGAGUGUUGUUGAAGUA
rnacentral:rRNA from 1 species